AAUAAACGCUGGCGGUAUGCUUAACACAUGCAAGUCGAACGAUGAGAAAGAGCUUGCUCUUUCGAUUAGUGGCGGACGGGUGCGUAACGCGUAGGAAUCUACCUAUUAGUGGGGGACAACUUAGGGAAACUUAAGCUAAUACCGCAUGCGCCCUACGGGGGAAAGGAGGGGAUCGCAAGACCUUUCGCUAAUAGAUGAGCCUGCGUAGGAUUAGCUAGUUGGUGGGGUAAAGGCUCACCAAGGCGACGAUCCUUAACUGGUUUGAGAGAAUGAUCAGUCACACUGGAACUGAGACACGGUCCAGACUCCUACGGGAGGCAGCAGUGGGGAAUAUUGGACAAUGGGCGAAAGCCUGAUCCAGCAAUACCGCGUGUGUGAAGAAGGCCUUAGGGUUGUAAAGCACUUUCAAUUGGUAGGAAAACCUCAUGGCUAAUAUCCAUGAGUUUGACAUUACCUUUAGAAGAAGCACCGGCUAACUCCGUGCCAGCCGCCGCCGUAAAAC
rnacentral:rRNA from 1 species